UUGGGAUAUUCGUAGCAAAAUGCAAAUUCAUGCUCUGUCUGGACAUGAUAACACUGUUUGUUCUGUUUUUACCAGGCCAAUGGAUCCACAGGUUAUAACUGGCUCUCAUGACAGUACCAUUAAGUUCUGGGACCUUAGAUAUGGUAAGACAAUGGCAACCCUCACACAUCACAAGAAAUCUGUUCGAGCUAUGGCUCAACUUCC